GACGAACGCUGGCGGCGUGCUUAACACAUGCAAGUCGAACGGAAAGGCCCCUUUGGGGGUACUCGCGUGGCGAACGGGUGAGUAACACGUGCGUAACCUGCCCUUGACUUCGGGAUAACUUCCGUAAACUGGGGCUAAUACCGGCUAGGAAUCCUUGCUGCAUGGUGGGGGUUGGAAAGCUUCGGGGGGUUUGGAUGGACUCGCGGCUUUUCAGCUUGUUGGUGGGGUAGUGGGUUACCUAGGCUUUGAGGGGUAGAUGGCCUGUGAGGGGGAGCGGCCCCAUUGGGGCUGAGAGACGGGCCCGAGUCCUACGGGGGGGAGAGGUGGGGAGUAUUGUGCAAUGGGCGGGAGCCUGAGGCAGCGAAGCCGCGUGCGGGAUGAGGGCCUUCGGGUUGUGAACCGCGUUUAGCAGUGGCGAGGCGUGUGGUGACGGUACCUGGAGAAGGAGCACCGGCUAACUACGUG
rnacentral:rRNA from 1 species